CGGCGUGCUUAACACAUGCAAGUCGAACGGGACUGAUUGAAAGCUUGCUUUUGAAAGGUCUAGUGGCAAACGGGUGAGUAACGCGUAGGCAACCUGCCUCUAAGAUGGGGACAACAGAGCGAAAGUUCUGCUAAUACCGAAUGUUGUGGGUUUACCGCAUGGUGAAUCCAUUAAAGAUGGCCUCUACAUGUAAGCUAUCACUUAGAGAUGGGCCUGCGUCUGAUUAGCUGGUUGGUGAGGUAACGGCUCACCAAGGCGACGAUCAGUAGCCGGUCUGAGAGGAUGAACGGCCACAUUGGGACUGAGACACGGCCCAGACUCCUACGGGAGGCAGCAGUGGGGAAUCUUCCGCAAUGGGCGAAAGCCUGACGGAGCAACGCCGCGUGAGUGAAGAAGGUCUUCGGAUCGUAAAGCUCUGUCGAAGGGGACGAAUGCAGUGCCUAUCAACAACGGGGACUGGUGACGGUACCUUUCAAGAAAGCCACGGCUAACUACGUGCC
rnacentral:rRNA from 1 species